AGGCACGAUCAAUAGGAAAUACCCUAACACCACCAACUGGGGUGCCGUGAUCGCUAGCCCGGCGAGAACGCCGGUGAUGACAAGUGCAUACUUCAUCCGCAAAUUCGUUACAAAGGUAAGGUCUGCCGCAAUUCAAUCCGUCACGGGCAAACGAUCGAAUCGCGAUCGUCGAGCGCUCCGAACCGUAACAAGCGCGUGCCGCUGAGAAAUCUAGCUCGCCGUCAGCCGACGUGCCCGAAUUUUCGACUUCUCGAUUUGUCUGAUGUCAGUCUGCGAACUCACCCGUUUGCAACGUGUCUCAACCAUUGCGACUGGCCGAUGUGAGUUCCGGCGGCGCGGUGUCCUCGCUCGUUUGCGAUUGUUUCUCCGUGUGCCGUAGACGGUUUCUGCAUGAGCAUCGGUCGGAGUAGCUCAGUUGGAUAGAGCAUCAGGCUGCAACCCUGACGGUCACGGGUUCGACUCCCGUCACGCACC
rnacentral:tRNA from 1 species